GGUGUUGCUCAGUGGUAGAGCACUUGCCUAGCAUGUGUGAGGCACUGGCUUCGAAUCUCAGGACCCCG
rnacentral:tRNA from 1 species